AGAACUUUGAAGAGAGAGUUCAAGAGUACGUGAAACCGCCCAGAGGUAAACGGUUGGAUCCGCAAAGUCGGUCCGCGGAAUUCAGCGCGGCGCGCGGUCCGGGGCUGUCGCCGUUCGGGAUCCUUUGGAACCGACGGUGGCGCCGAGCCGGGCUCCGCCGCGUGCACUUUCCGCGGACAGAGAGCCACAACCGGUUUGGUAGCGGUCACAUGCCGGGAUGGGUUGGCGGUGGGGGCGCUCGCGUCCCUACCAGCCUUUUUCGGCGAGCCGCCGCCAGACCGAGGAACCGCCGCACGCCUCGAGGCCACCCUCCCUUCCGGGUGAGUUCGACUGGGAGAGACUGGGCAACCGU
rnacentral:rRNA from 1 species